GACGAACGCUGGCGGCGUGCUUAACACAUGCAAGUCGAACGGAAAGGUCCUGCUUUUGUGGGGUGCUCGAGUGGCGAACGGGUGAGUAACACGUGAGUAACCUGCCCUUGACUUUGGGAUAACUUCAGGAAACUGGGGCUAAUACCGGAUAGGAGCUCCUGCUGCAUGGUGGGGGUUGGAAAGUUUCGGCGGUUGGGGAUGGACUCGCGGCUUAUCAGCUUGUUGGUGGGGUAGUGGCUUACCAAGGCUUUGACGGGUAGCCGGCCUGAGAGGGUGACCGGCCACAUUGGGACUGAGAUACGGCCCAGACUCCUACGGGAGGCAGCAGUGGGGAAUAUUGCACAAUGGGCGGGAGCCUGAUGCAGCAACGCCGCGUGCGGGAUGACGGCCUUCGGGUUGUAAACCGCUUUCGCCUGUGACGAAGCGUGAGUGACGGUAAUGGGUAAAGAAGCACCGGCUAACUACGUG
rnacentral:rRNA from 1 species